UACGGAGGAUGCGAGCGUUAUCCGGAUUUAUUGGGUUUAAAGGGUGCGUAGGCGGACUGUCAAGUCAGCGGUAAAAUUGAGAGGCUCAACCUCUUCCCGCCGUUGAAACUGGUGGUCUUGAGUGGAUGAGAAGUACGCGGAAUGCGUGGUGUAGCGGUGAAAUGCAUAGAUAUCACGCAGAACCCCGAUUGCGAAGGCAGCAUACCGGCGCCCGACUGACGCUGAAGCACGAAAGCGUGGGUAUCGAACAGG
rnacentral:rRNA from 1 species